AACGAACGCUGGCGGCAUGCCUAACACAUGCAAGUCGAACGGGAUCCAGGCUUCGGCCUGGUGAGAGUGGCGGACGGGUGAGUAACACGUGGGAACCUGCCUUUUGGUUCGGGAUAACCGCGGAAAACUGCGGCUAAUACCGGAUGCUCCCGAGAGGGGAAAGAUUUAUCGCCAGAAGAGGGGCCCGCGUCCGAUUAGGUAGUUGGUGAGGUAAUGGCUCACCAAGCCGACGAUCGGUAGCUGGUCUGAGAGGAUGAUCAGCCACACUGGGACUGAGAUACGGCCCAGACUCCUACGGGAGGCAGCAGUGGGGAAUAUUGGACAAUGGGGCAACCCUGAUCCAGCAAUGCCGCGUGAGUGAUGAAGGCCUUAGGGUUGUAAAGCUCCUUUGCCAGGGAAGAUGAUGACUGUACCUGGAGAAUAAGCCCCGGCUAACUUCGUGCCAGCAGCCGCGGUAAU
rnacentral:rRNA from 1 species